rnacentral:rRNA from 1 species
GACGUAGGGCGCGAGCGUUGUCCGGAUUUAUUGGGCGUAAAGAGCUCGUAGGCGGCUUGUCGCGUCGUCCGUGAAAACCUGGGGCUCAACCCCAGGCUGCGGUCGAUACGGGCAGGCUAGAGUGUGGUAGGGGAGAUCGGAAUUCCUGGUGUAGCGGUGAAAUGCGCAGAUAUCAGGAGGAACACCGGUGGCGAAGGCGGAUCUCUGGGCCAUUACUGACGCUGAGGAGCGAAAGCGUGGGGAGCGAACAGG